rnacentral:rRNA from 1 species
AUUGAACGCUGGCGGCAUGCUUUACACAUGCAAGUCGAACGGUAGCAGGGUGCUUGCACCGCUGACGAGUGGCGAACGGGUGAGUAAUGCGUCGGAACGUGCCGGGUAGUGGGGGAUAACGCAGCGAAAGUUGUGCUAAUACCGCAUACGUCCUGCGGUAGAAAGUGGGGGACCUUCGGGCCUCACGCUAUUCGAGCAGCCGACGUCUGAUUAGCUAGUAGGUGGGGUAAUGGCUCACCUAGGCGACGAUCAGUAGCGGGUCUGAGAGGAUGAUCCGCCACACUGGGACUGAGACACGGCCCAGACUCCUACGGGAGGCAGCAGUGGGGAAUUUUGGACAAUGGGCGAAAGCCUGAUCCAGCCAUGCCGCGUGUCUGAAGAAGGCCUUCGGGUUGUAAAGGACUUUUGUCAGGGAGGAAAUCCCUAGCGCUAAUACCGCUGGGGGAUGACAGUACCUGAAGAAUAAGCACCGGCUAACUACGUGCCAGCCGCCGCUGUAAUAC